UUACAAUUAAAGGAUAUUUCUUGUGACUGAGCAUAAACGGAAAUCUCUCUUAAUUGUUUGGU
rfam:Salmo salar isolate Sally breed double haploid chromosome ssa01, whole genome shotgun sequence.